rnacentral:rRNA from 1 species
GCUUGCUUCUUUGCUGACGAGUGGCGGACGGGUGAGUAAUGUCUGGGAAACUGCCUGAUGGAGGGGGAUAACUACUGGAAACGGUAGCUAAUACCGCAUAACGUCGCAAGACCAAAGAGGGGGACCUUCGGGCCUCUUGCCAUCGGAUGUGCCCAGAUGGGAUUAGCUAGUAGGUGGGGUAACGGCUCACCUAGGCGACGAUCCCUAGCUGGUCUGAGAGGAUGACCAGCCACACUGGAACUGAGACACGGUCCAGACUCCUACGGGAGGCAGCAGUGGGGAAUAUUGCACAAUGGGCGCAAGCCUGAUGCAGCCAUGCCGCGUGUAUGAAGAAGGCCUUCGGGUUGUAAAGUACUUUCAGCGGGGAGGAAGGGAGUAAAGUUAAUACCUUUGCUCAUUGACGUUACCCGCAGAAGAAGCACCGGCUAACUCCGUGCCAGCAGCCGCGGUAAUACGGAGGGUGCAAGCGUUAAUCGGAAUUACUGGGCGUAAAGCGCACGCAGGCGGUUUGUUAAGUCAGAUGUG